GUAAACAGUAAAAAGGGAGGACUUCAGGAUAUGAGGAUAUCUCAGAUCUAGCAUAAGUCAGUCCACAAGUAAGCUUGAAUCUGAUUCUACUGACUAACCAUCCCUCUUUUCCGUUCAAACUAGAAAAGGAGAGAAACGAAAGGGGUGAAGGAUGAGGGGUUCGAGAUGAAGAAGGUAUAGGUCCUUUGUCGUCAAAAGAAAAGGAGGAUGAUUCUUACAUUUUCAUUCACCUCGAAGAUCUUAGAAAGAGGGAAACCCGAAAUCGGGAUAGAAUCCUCAACACCCAAGGGUCAAUCCUGAAACCCUAAUCUCUUGAAUAAAGAAGAAGAAAAUAGACGAAUUCUUAUUCAUUCAAUAAUAACGAAACUAGGGUUCCUCACAACAUAUAUAUAAGCUAUGGAAAAAGUAAAAGUGCAUUAAUGCCCUUGAAAACAAGAAAAAUAACAAAAAAGUCCAAAACUAAAACACCCGUGUGGCAGGGUGUGAAAUCCGACCCAUGGAUCUGUGGUUAGGGUGUGGUCAUGCCGCUCCUGCACUCAUAACGCAUCAGAAAAUGGGUCUGAUGGACCCAGCGUCCAUUCACAUCAACUCUUCUGCUCUGGUACUCUAUCAGCAACGCCUCAUUUGGUACACUUUAAAGGGUGCACCACCGAUGUCUGCAUCAAUUAGAGAUGAAAGAGAGUACGGAUUCUAGGGCAUCAAAGAAAAGAAGACGGUUGAUUCUUACCUUUUCUUGCAUCUUGAAGAUCUAGAAAGAAGGAAAAUCUGAAACCGGGGUGGAAUCCUCAACACCUAAGAGCCAAUCUUGAAACCCUAAUAUCUUUGGUAAAAGAUGAAGAAAGCAUACUAAUUCUCAUUCAUUCACUAAUAAAAUAUGAUUUGUUACAGUAUAUAUAAGCUACAGAAAAAUAAAAAGUGCACUAAAGCCUCUGAAAACAAGGAAAAGAACAAAAAGACAUAAAAGUAAAAUACCCGCACGACAGGGUGUGAAAUUCACCCCAUGGGCCUGCAGUCAGGGUGCGGUCGUGCCGCUCCUACACUCGUAGUGCAUCAAAAAAUGGGUCUGAUGGACCUGGUGUCCAUUCACAUCAACUCCUCCGCUCCAGUACUCUGUCGGCAACGCCUCCUCCUUUAGUACACUCUAAAGGGUGCACCACUGAUGUCCACAUCAAUUAGGGAAAAGAGCUAGGUUAUCGUCAUGGACUGAUUUAUGGACAUGUUAAGGGCUGAUUGGGACAAUUUGGGAACUGGUUUCAUAAUUAGUUAGGGCCUGUUUAGAUAGGAAGAAUCUGAAAUGUGGUCAGGGAACCAAGGGAAAUAGUAAUUGACAAGCAAAACGGUGGAAUUAAAUCCAGAUUCCUUUGUUUGUUUUGCAAGGCUAUUUUCCAUGGAAUUCAAGUUCAUUUUCUGUUUCCUUCUUUUUUCUUUUUUUGUGUUGAUUGGUAUCGUGUAAACUGGGAAAAUCUAUGAAAAAUCUGUCAAUACUUAAGUACUACAGAGACAACCAUACACAAUGGUAGACGGUAUUUAAAAACAUGUUUGUGCACAUCUACCUAUCAUGUAUGGGGUGUUGACACACUGUACAAUCGAACCAUUGAGCAAGAUUACAUUCAGAUGGACAUCAAAAGCAAAGACCAUUUCAUCAUAGAAUCUGCCAAUACAACUGUGCCUGUUGAUCAGCAAGUUUCAUAGCAUUACUAUCAGAUUUCCAUGUGAGUUACAUCAGUGAACAGACAAAUGAUGCAAAAACAGAAUCUUUAUUGAGUUAAAUAGUCAAACACCCAUUUCAUCAAAAUAUGAUUUCGAAUAUUAAAAAACAAAGAUUGAAAUAGACCAUUUGCAUUUGCAUUUGCAUAAGAGAAAUAAACAGCUCAUAAAUAAGCAAACAUUGCAGCUUGGCACAA